GACGAAGGGGGCUAGCGUUGUUCGGAAUUACUGGGCGUAAAGCGAGUGUAGGUGGUUGUCCAAGUUGGAUGUGAAAGCCUUGAGCUCAACUCAAGAAAUGCAUUCAGGACUGGGCGGCUAGAGGACCGGAGAGGAUAGUGGAAUUCCCAGUGUAGUGGUGAAAUACGUAGAGAUUGGGAAGAACACCAGUGGCGAAGGCGGCUAUCUGGACGGUUUCUGACACUAAGACUCGAAAGCGUGGGGAGCAAACAGGG
rnacentral:rRNA from 1 species